UUACCUGUUCUUUGCUGUUUCAUUAGACUUGAAUAAUGUUUGAGAACAGGUUCCUACUACUCGCAUCCUUAUCUCUUUGGUCUUUAUUCCAUAAACAAUGGGGUUCAUGGUUGGGGGUAUCAGUAGAUAGAGAUUUGCCAGGAGGAUGAGAGUGUGCCUGGACACAUGGUGCCCAAAGCGAUGGGUAAAGAAAGAGAAAAAGGCCAGUGUGUAGAAUAUUAAAAUGACGCAAAUGUGAGCUCCGCAGGUGCCAAAGGCUUUUGUCCGUGCUUCUUUUGAUGGCAGUUGUAGAACAGUUUUCAAGAUUAGCCAGUAGGACAAGGAGAUAAAGACAAAGUCCAGCCCUGUCGUGAGAAGAGCAGCUGAGAGACCAUAAAUGCUAUUUAAGGUAAAGCUGUUGCAAGCCAACUUGGCAAUGCCCAUGUUCUCACAGUAUGUGUGAUGGAUAAUGUUGCUUCGGCAAAAGUCCAAGCGGAGAAUAAGUAGAACACCUGGAGUAACAACAGCCACACUUCGAGCUAUCAGCACCAGCCCAACCUUGCCAAUGAUAGAGCUUGUAAGCAGGGAUGUAUAAUGCAGUGGAAUGCAGAUAGCCACAUAGCGAUCAAAAGCCAUAGCCAGUAAGACAGCAGAUUCAGAGAGGAACAGAGCAUGGACAAAAAACAUCUGUGUCAGGCAUGCAGGGAAUGUGGCUUCCAAGGGGCCCUGCCAGAAAAUGAGCAGCAUUUGGGGUACCGUGACAGUACAGAGGAGGACAUCAUUGAAUGCCAACAUGGCCAGGAAGAGAUACAUGGGUUCAUGGAGGCUCCUGUCAUAGACCACUACUGCCAUGACCAGCACAUUUCCUAACACAGCCAAAACGUACAUGAAGCUGAAAGGUAUGGACAUCCAAAUCUGAAUAUCUUCUAAUCCUGGCACACCAGUAAGCAGAAAGAAAGUGAGCUGAGUAGGUGUAGUGUUGAGUUCU
rnacentral:lncRNA from 1 species